CCCCUCUCAGGAUCGCACCUGGAGAGUUUCCAGCACUCUACCAGUCUCGGCUACGAGAGGGAGAGUCGAGCCGAGGCCUGUCUGUUCCAUUCCUAGCUUGGCCAGUGGCUAGCGAGUGGAAGCCCAUCUGCUACAAGU